rnacentral:lncRNA from 1 species
GACCUACUUUGGGUGCCUCCAGCGGGUCUGUUCUGCUCUUCUUGUCCAUGCGCUGCGGAUGGUGACCUGCUUGGCGGGGUGCUUGUAUGCCUGGGUGUUGCCCUCACCUCUUCUUGGGCCCACUUGCUGAUGGAUGUGCUGUUUAGAGUCGGUUUUCUUUGUGCUGGUGAGAACAGAGCAGCAGCCCAGAAGGUUGCAAGGAUCACGCUCAAAGAGCUGCAAUGCAGGCCUGCUUCAAGCCAAAGAUGACUCUUUGGAAGAGGCUUCUGGACCAUAAAUAAGCACAGGCUGCCCAGGAGGGUGGUUGGGGUCACUGUCCCUGGAGGUGUUCCAGAACCAUGGAGAUGUGGUACUGAGGGAUGU